rnacentral:rRNA from 1 species
UACAGGGGGGGCAAGCGUUGUUCGGAAUUACUGGGCGUAAAGGGCUCGUAGGUGGCCAACUAAGUCAGACGUGAAAUCCCUCAGCUCAACUGGGGAACUGCGUCUGAUACUGGCGAGCUUGAGUGCAGGAGAGGGAUGCGGAAUUCCAGGUGUAGCGGUGAAAUGCGUAGAUAUCUGGAGGAACACCGGUGGCGAAGGCGGCGUCCUGGACUGCAACUGACACUGAGGAACGAAAGCCAGGGGAGCAAACGGG